rnacentral:rRNA from 1 species
AACGAACGCUGGCGGCAUGCCUAACACAUGCAAGUCGAGCGGACCUUUCGGGGUCAGCGGCGGACGGGUGCGUAACGCGUGGGAACAUGCCCUUCUCUACGGAAUAGCCCUGGGAAACGGGGGGUAAUACCGUAUACGGCCUUUGGGGGAAAGAUUUAUCGGCGAUGGAUGAGCCCGCGUUGGAUUAGGUAGUUGGUGGGGUAAUGGCCUACCAAGCCGACGAUCCAUAGCUGGUUUGAGAGGAUGAUCAGCCACACUGGGACUGAGACACGGCCCAGACUCCUACGGGAGGCAGCAGUGGGGAAUCUUAGACAAUGGGCGCAACCCUGAUCUAGCCAUGCCGCGUGAGUGAUGAAGGCCUUAGGGUUGUAAAGCUCUUUUAGCUGGGAAGAUAAUGACGGUACCAGCAGAAGAAGCUCCGGCUAACUCCGUG